rnacentral:tRNA from 2 species
GGGGACGAUAAGAGGUGACCUACGGUACCUCUGUCACGGCAGAGGUCGCGAGUUCGAGUCUCGUCGUCCCCGCCA